GGAUGAAGAUUAAUCAAAAAUAUAAUAUUUUAUAGUUGUAUCUCAAAAUUUACUUUUUAGUAAAAAAGGCUAAAAUAACCUUUAUAGACAAGAAGACCCUAUAAAUCUUUAUAUUUUACAAUUUUAUACAUUAUAAUAAUAUUUAGCUGGGGCAGCCAAAAAGAAAACGUUUUUAAAUUUUAAUUAAAUUAAUUAUACCUAGAACUUCUAAAAAUUAAUCAAGAUACUUUAGGGAUAACAGCAUUUUCUAUUUUGAAAGAUCAAAUUGAUAAAUAGACACAUGACCUCGAUGUUGGAUUAAAGUUCCAUUUUUCCGCAAAAGGAAAAAAAGGGGGUCUGUUCGACCUUUAAAUCUUUCCA
rnacentral:rRNA from 1 species